GGAGUACCUGGUGUCCAGAACUAUCUGGACGAUCUAAUAGUUUACGGUGCCACUGCUGAUGAACACGAUCGGACUCUCCAUACUGUCCUGCUAAAACUCAAAGAGGCUGGACUGGUUCUGAAUGAUGAAAAGUGCCAUUUCAGAAAGACCACACUCCGCUUCCUUGGCCAUGUCAUUACCGCAGAUGGUAUUUUGCCCGACCAAGAGCACGUUAAUGCAAUACUUCAAGCUCCCGCACCAUCUGAUGCUGCUGCCUUACGAUCCUUUUUGGGCCUUGCUUCAUGGUACUCAAAGUUUAUUCCGAAUUUUGCAACGGUGGUGGCUCCCAUGCGUGAAUGUGUAAAAGAUAAAGAGACUUUCACAUGGUCUGCAGCUGCCCAGACCAGUUUUGAUGAGGUCAAGCAGCUCUUAGUGUCCAGCUCUGCCCUAGCUCUGUACGACCCCUCCCUACGCUCAGUGAUCUCGACUGAUGCCUGUGAUUAUGGACUGGGUGCUGUGUUUGCCCAAAUUCAGCCAGAUGGUACAGAGAAACCGGUAGCUUUUGCUUCACGUACACUUACAAUGGCAGAGCGUAAAUACUCAAUUGUGGAAAAAGAGGCACUUGCAUGCGUGUGGGCUACAGAAAAGUGGCGCACGUAUUUGUGGGGCAGGCGCUUUACUUUGCGCACGGACCACCAGGCACUCACAACCUUACUCACUACCAAAGGAAUGAAUAGGGCUGGAUUGCGCAUUGCCCGCUGGUCGGCGCGUCUGCUUUGUUUUGACUACGAUGUCGUUUACAAGCCAGGUUCACAAAACCAUACAGCAGACUGCCUUUCACGUCUCCCUCUGCAUGUGCUAGCGGAUCCUUCUACAGAUGUGGAACCUGAACAUGUAGCUCUGAUUUCUUCCACACUGAGUUCCCUUCCGGUCCCUGACUUUGACCGUGCUUGUUCCUCAUGUUCAGAAAUGGUGGCUCUUAGUGAACAGAUUAGCCGUGGCUGGCCUCCAUCUAUACGGGCUGUUGCCCAGAAUCUAAUGCCCU
rnacentral:lncRNA from 1 species